GGAGGUUCUUGGGUGGUGCACCCCAGUAUCAGGCUCCUUCCUCUCUGAUUCUGGGUGUGUUACCUGAGAACCGCA
rfam:Myotis lucifugus cont2.25886, whole genome shotgun sequence.